UACGGAGGGUGCAAGCGUUAUCCGGAUUCACUGGGUUUAAAGGGUGCGUAGGCGGGUAUGUAAGUCCGUGGUGAAAUCCUGCAGCUUAACUGCAGAACUGCCGUGGAUACUAUAUAUCUUGAAUGUUGUUGAGGUUAGUAGAAUAUGUCAUGUAGCGGUGAAAUGCUUAGAGAUGACAUAGAAUACCGAUUGCGAAGGCAGCUGGCUAAACAAAUAUUGACGCUGAGGCACGAAAGCGUGGGUAGCAAACAGG
rnacentral:rRNA from 1 species